rnacentral:misc_RNA from 1 species
GUGUAGAGAAUAUCUGGCUAGAUUGAGGCCAGUUGCUGUCGAUGUCGCUUUUCAUUCUUCGUCCGUGUAACCUAGCAUCGGAUUUUCAGACCAAUUGUGGACUUGUGGGCCUUUUUAGUUUUGUUGUUCUUACCCUGAAGCAGACAUGAAAUUCUGUAUAUUUGAUGGAAGAAUCUAGCAAGGAGCAACGACCUAGAUGUCCAUGUGGAUUUUGGGGAUCAACAGAGACCUCGGGCCUUUGCUCCAAGUGUUACCGUGAAGCACAGAGGAAUCAAGGCCAGAGCAGCUUGUGCACCAGUGAAUCUUCAAAGUCUUCAAUUGGAAGUUGUCACAACCAGCCAAGAAAUCGCAGUGUUCCUACUAACAGGAUGGACUCGAAACAUUUCCCGUCCCAUUCCACCACAGACAAUCUACCGAGUUCCCUGAGCUCGCCUGGUGAACGGUCGGCACUGGCAGCAGCAGCAGCGGCCCCUACUCCUGCCACGGUUGACACGACAAGUGUUAGCACCAGCAGCACAAACACAGGCCCCAACCACAUGUCUGCCGUCAUAGCCUCCCCUGGUGGAGGCACCAGUGAAGAAAUGGGGCCCUCCGGUAUCAUCGCGGAAGCCAACAGGUCGGCUUCUGGUCAGCAAAUAGCAACUCCCAGUGAUUCGGACUCGCAGAGCUCUGCCUCCAGCGAUCAGUCUUAUGAUCCUGUUCGCGACGUCGAAGGCCGCUCUGCCGCCUCCUGUUCCUCCUCCUCCUCCUCGUUGGUUUCAGUCCCCAGCAGCUUAGGAAAUUCAUAUCCAUCUUCCUCUUCUACUACAUCCAGUACCAAGGAUGGUUCUUCUGUGCAAAGAGACACACUUGUGACAGUCCCAAAUUCUACAGGUGUAGGGCUAAUAAAAGCUGCUGCAACUGCAAGCUCUCCGUCGACUGCAUGUGGAGGGAAAAUCACAAACAGUGUUAUAGACAGUGUUGUUGUAGCAAAGAUAAAUCUCGCUUCUUCUUCCACCAAAGACAUUUCUGUAAAAUGUGCGGAGAAAGAUGAACAGGCGGGGUGCUCCUCCUCUGGCUCCAUAAGCCCUAAAGCACCCACUACAACAGAGAAUCGUGAAAACUCUACCUGUGAGGAAAAUAGCAGUCAGCAAUCGCCUGUGGCCAGAGGAGUAAAGAGGUCAAGAGAAGAAAUGGAAGCUUCCAGUGAAAACAAAACCGAAAGUGAACCUUCACCACAGAAAAAUAAACGGCGUUGCUUUGUUUGUAAUUGUAAACUGGAACUUGCUCAGCGGACCAUUGGUCGUUGUCGAUGUGUAGUAAAAAAGUCAAUAGCACUACUCUCUGCCUCUGGGCCAGAAAGAGCAGCUGGCCAUCACUGCAUUACAGUCAUCUACUCUACGGAUGAGAUGCAAAAACUGCCAACAGGCAGUGGCUGUGUCUUUGUUUGAGAUAAGUAACGUUUAGUCAAGUUCAUUUUCUACUGGCUGGCUGCUCCAUGGACCAUCUGUGGAAAGGUGAAUGCAUUUGAAUGCCGUGUUGUGCAUAUUAGAAUGCUAGGGGGAUGUGAAGUCAAAGGAUUUUUACACUGUGCAGAUCGAGUUUUUUGUGCCCUCCACCGCCUACCAGAGCUGCACAAGUGUGAUUUCAAUCACAAAGAAGAUGGACGACGGGAGGCUCGAG